CAAAACUGGCCACCACACAUUGAUGUUCUAUAGCAGAUUGAUUGAUGUUCUUUGCAGAUAUAGUUGUUAACUUGUAUGGCAUGAUGCCAGAAAAACCUCUGUACUGUAAUGCUAUCCAGAGAUGGUUAUGGGAUUUGGCAUAACCAUAAGAGACUAACAGAGCCUAUGGCAUGCUAAUAUAAUUCAGAAAUUACAAGUGAAACACAGGUAGGCUACAUUGGGAAUGCAAAACGUUGAGGUGAGGUGACGAGCGAGUGCUGUCAGUGUGUAUGCAGCUUUAGACGGUUUGAUCAAGAAGGUUAGUUACACUAAUCAGAGGAAUUCUCUCCAAGUAGACUAAAUGUGUCCUGACCACACAAACAUGAGUAUCAAACAACAUAGAGGACAAGGAGAAAUCAUGGUGGAAGCAGAUCUCUCCGCUCCAGCGGGAACUCAUCUUCCUAAAAAGCUUCUCUCGAACAUUGCUCCAUCCAUCUGCUGUCCCAGUACCAGCCCAAGGAGGAUGGGUUCCCCCAACAGCCUGGGUCCUCCCAAGGUUUCUUCCAGCUUCCAGCUGGGAGUUUUUUCUUGCCACCGUUGCCUACGGCUCGCUUUUGGGGGCAUGAGGACGAGCAUCUUAUGAGCGAUGUCCAUGCACAGAUAAAGGAGACAUGAGGGGGAGAAAGAAUGCCUGUGUACUUACAAGAGGGUGAUAUGUGAUAGAAAG